rnacentral:sRNA from 1 species
GCUGGGUGCAGUGGCGCACACCUGUAAUUCCAGUGGCUCAGGAGGCUGAGGCAGGAAGAUCAUGAGUUCAAAGCCAGUCUCAGCAACAGCUAGGUGCUAAGCAACUCAGUAAGACCCUGUCUCUA